GGUUUUUAGAAAUUAUUAAAAAUCAAACCUGCUCAAUGCUUAAGUAAAUAGCCGCGGUAUUAUAACCGUGCAAAGGUAGCAUAAUCACUUGUCUUUUAAUUGAGGACUGGAAUGAAAGGUUAGACUAUGUAAUUCUGUCUUAUAAUAAUAUUUUGAAAUUUAUAUUUUAGUAAAAAAGCUAAAAUUAAAAUUAAAGACGAGAAGACCCUAUCAAGUUUCACAAUAAUACCUUGUUUUCAAGUCAAGCAAAAAUUGUUUUGCUGGGGCAGCAGAUAAAAUUUCUUUUAUUUUAAUAUUAUGGAAUAUAAUCCUUGUUAAAUCAAAAAGUUUUUAAAUAAAAAUAAGUUACUGUAGGGAUAACAGCAUAAUUUUUUUUAAGAGUUCUCAUUGACAAAAAAGUUUGUGACCUCGAUGUUGGAUUAAGAAUCCUUAUUCAUGCAAUAAUGAAAUAAGGAAGUCUGUUCGACUUUUAAUUUCUUCCA
rnacentral:rRNA from 1 species